rnacentral:rRNA from 1 species
UUAUUUGAGAGUUUGAUCCUGGCUCAGGAUGAACGCUGGCGGUGUGCCUUAGGCAUGCAAGUCGAACGCUCCCUUCGGGGAGAGUGGCAGACGGGUGAGUAACGCGUAGAUAUCUACCUCAUAGCGUGGAAUAGCCCAUCGAAAGGUGGGGUAAUACCGCAUAGUCCCUCCGGGGUAAAGGCUUCGGCCACUAUGAGAGGAGUCUGCGUCCUAUCAGGCUGUUGGUAGGGUAAUGGCCUACCAAACCGAUGACGGGUAACCGGUGUGAGAGCACGACCGGUCACAAGGUCACUGAGACACGGGGCCUACACCUACGGGUGGCAGCAACCGGGAAUAUUGCGCAAUGGGCGAAAGCCUGACGCAGCGACACCGCGUGUGGGAAGAAGUUCUUCGGAAUGUAAACCACUGUGGCGGGGGAAGAAUUUUGACUGUACCCCGCUAGAAAGCACCUGCUAACUACGUGCCAGAAGCCUCGGUAAUACGUAGGGUGCAAGCGUUAUCCGGAUUUAUUGGGCGUAAAGAGUUCCGUCGGCGUCUUGGUCAGUCAUUUGUCUAAACCUGGGGCUCAACUCCAGAGCGGCAAGUGAAACUACCAAGAUUGAGUCUGUUAGGGGAAGCUAGAAUUCUCGGUGAAGGGGUGAAAUCCGUAGAUAUCGAGAGGAAUACCAGUCGCGAAGGCGGGCUUCUAAAACAGUACUGACGCUCAUGGACGAAAGCUUGGGUAGCAAAAGGGAUUAGAGACCCCUGUAGUCCAAGCCGUAAACACUGUCUGCUAGUUGCCUGGUCUCUCAAGAAUAUUUUGACGAAAUUUGAUCAAAAAUAUUUUUGAGUGACUGGGUGACGUAAGCUAACGCGUUAAGCAGACCGCCUGGGGAGUACGACCGCAAGGUUAAAACUCAAAGGAAUUGACGGGGGAGCGCACAACCGGUGGAGCAUGUGGUUUAAUUCGAUACAAAGCGAAAAACCUUACCUGGGUUUGAAAUGUACCUGCACGUUCUGGGAAACCAGAAUUCCUUCGAGGGUGGUACACAGGUGAUGCAUGGCUGUCGUCAGCUCGUGUCGUGAGACGUCCACUUAAGUGUGGUAACGAGCGCAACCCUUGCUAUCAGUUACAAGUGUCUGAUAGGACUGCCCCGCCUUUGGCGGGGAGGAAGGAGAGGACGACGUCAAGUCAGCACGUCCCUUACAUCCAGGGCAACACACAUCCUACAAUGGAGCCGACAACGGGUAGCGACGGAGUAAUCCCGAGCCAAUCCUUAUAAACGGCCCCUCAAUUCGGAUUGAAGGCUGCAAUUCGCCUUCAUGAAGUCGGAAUCGGUAGUAAUCGCAAAUCAGCAGGUUGCGGUGAAUACGUUCUCGCUCCUUGUACACACUGCCCGUCAAGCCAGCAAAGUCAGCAACGCCCGAAGCGGAUGACCGUAACUCUUACGAGAACGGCUCUUCUACGGCGAGGUUGGCGAUGAGGACUAAGUCGUAACAAGGUAUCCGUACUGGAAGGUGCGGAUGGAUCACCUCCUUU